rnacentral:rRNA from 1 species
CAGCAGUAGCCGCGGUAAUACAGAGGGUGCGAGCGUUAAUCGGAUUUACUGGGCGUAAAGCGUGCGUAGGCGGCUUCUUAAGUCGGAUGUGAAAUCCCUGAGCUUAACUUAGGAAUUGCAUUCGAUACUGGGAAGCUAGAGUAUGGGAGAGGAUGGUAGAAUUCCAGGUGUAGCGGUGAAAUGCGUAGAGAUCUGGAGGAAUACCGAUGGCGAAGGCAGCCAUCUGGCCUAAUACUGACGCUGAGGUACGAAAGCAUGGGGAGCAAACAGGAUUAGAUACCCCUGUAGUCCCUGUCUCUUAUAA